rnacentral:snoRNA from 1 species
AUGCAUCUCUGACAGCCCUGGAGCAGUUCCUGUCUGCUGCUAAGGUUUCCACUACAGAAGCAAGAAAAAGAAGUCCUCGCGCUUUCUGUCUGUCUGGUUGUAGCAGCCAAGAUUGAAUCGGGGAAUACAGGA